AUCCAACGCGUUGGGAGCUCUCCCAUAUGGUCGACCUGCAGGCGGCCGCGAAUUCACUAGUGAUUCGUAUUACCGCGGCUGCUGGCACAGAGUUAGCCGGUGCUUAUUCUGUCGGUAACGUCAAAACAGCAAAGUAUUAAUUUACUGCCCUUCCUCCCAACUUAAAGUGCUUUACAAUCCGAAGACCUUCUUCACACACGCGGCAUGGCUGGAUCAGGCUUUCGCCCAUUGUCCAAUAUUCCCCACUGCUGCCUCCCGUAGGAGUCUGGACCGUGUCUCAGUUCCAGUGUGACUGAUCAUCCUCUCAGACCAGUUACGGAUCGUCGCCUUGGUGAGCCAUUACCCCACCAACUAGCUAAUCCGACCUAGGCUCAUCUGAUAGCGCAAGGCCCGAAGGUCCCCUGCUUUCUCCCGUAGGACGUAUGCGGUAUUAGCGUCCGUUUCCGAACGUUAUCCCCCACUACCAGGCAGAUUCCUAGGCAUUACUCACCCGUCCGCCGCUCUCAAGAGAAGCAAGCUUCUCUCUACCGCUCGACUUGCAUGUGUUAGGCCUGCCGCCAGCGUUCAAUCUGAGCCAUGAUCAAACUCUAAUCGAAUUCCCGCGGCCGCCAUGGCGGCCGGGA
rnacentral:rRNA from 1 species